AUGUGGCUUGUCGUCCUCCACCGUAGGUGUUUAACAGCGGAUAAUCUGGAACGCAGGGGUUGUCCUUCGAAUGGAUCUUGCCCGCUAUGCCUCUCGGCGCACGAAGAUUGCACACAUCUGUUUUUACACUGCUGUUUCUCUCAGCAUGUUUGGAUAAAAUUCAGGGAUUGGACGAGGGCAGCCUUUCAGACUCCAGAUGAUAGCUUUGGUACUACAAAGGACUGGUGGCUGAAUACGUGGAAGGAAGUCCCCAAGACGGAACGACGUAACUUUGACACUAUCGCAAUCCUGCUACACUGGAGGAUUUGGAAAGAACGGAAUGCUCGGAUCUUUGAGCAAGUGGCUAGCAGCGUGGACAGGGUGCUGGAACUAAUCAGAGAAGAUAUUGCAACUUGGAGGGCUGCCGGCUGCGUUGGCGAUCUCUGUUGA
rnacentral:rRNA from 1 species